UACGGGGGGAGCAAGCGUUGCUCGGAUUUACUGGGCGUAAAGGGCGCGUAGGCGGCCACUGCAAGUCGGUUGUGAAAUCUCCGGGCUUAACCCGGAAAGGUCAAUCGAUACUGCAGGGCUAGAGUGCGGAAGGGGCAACUGGAAUUCUCGGUGUAGCGGUGAAAUUCGUAGAUAUCGGGAGGAACACCGGUGGCGAAGGCGGCGACCUGGGUAGAUACUGACGCUGAGGUGCGAAAGCGUGGGGAGCAAACAGG
rnacentral:rRNA from 1 species